rnacentral:rRNA from 1 species
GACGAACGCUGGCGGCGUGCUUAACACAUGCAAGUCGAACGGUAAGGCCCUUCGGGGUACACGAGUGGCGAACGGGUGAGUAACACGUGGGUGAUCUGCCCUGCACUUCGGGAUAAGCCUGGGAAGCUGGGUCUAAUACCGGAUAGGACCACUGCCUGCAUGGGUGGUGGUGGAAAGCUUUUGCGGUGUGGGAUGGGCCCGCGGCCUGUCAGCUUGUUGGUGGGGUGAUGGCCUACCAAGGCGACGACGGGUAGCCGGCCUGAGAGGGUGACCGGCCACACUGGGACUGAGAUACGGCCCAGACUCCUACGGGAGGCAGCAGUGGGGAAUAUUGCACAAUGGGCGCAAGCCUGAUGCGGCGACGCCGCGUGAGGGAUGACGGCCUUCGGGUUGUAAACCUCUUUCAGCACCGACGAAGCGCAAGUGACGGUAGGUGCAGAAGAAGGACCGGCCAACUACGUGCCAGCCGCCGCAGUAA